GCCGGCGCAGGUGCCCAGGGGCGCUCUUGGAAAGGCAGUGCAGCCUGGUGGUUAAGGACUGGGAGCUGCAGUCGGACAGACUCCAAAUUAGCUAAGGAGUCCUAGGGCGUCGUCCUUGGACUAUGUACGCACAUGCCACGUCUUCACGGCAGAAGGUAUUACGGGAUACAGUGAAGCGCUAACGCUCCCCUGGUCCCGCUCGCCUCUCCCUCCUGUAACUGACUGCCCUCGGCAGUGUCUUGUGUGUCAUUCCUGAUCCCACUCCAUGGGUUUAUAUGAAAAUACGUGAUUUGGUAUAUGGACUCUCUGCACCUCGACCUCCUAAUCUAAACAUGGGAAUGAAAAUGCUAGCAGUUCAAUCUGAAGAGGGACUGAGAAAGUGACCUGAGUCUUGCAGCGUGGAGAAGGAAGUUUGAUUUUGAUUCACAAGUGUCCCAGAGGACGGUACCUGCCUUUCCCUGGGCCUCUCCUGCAGCAACCAGGUACCACUACCGCAUGCUGUGGCUGGUCCCCCAAGAUGCCCACAGAGCUCCCCACCGCCAGAUACAGGAUACAGGACACUGAAGGCCUCCUUGUUCCAGAGGAUGCAGCAGGAAAUGCAUCAAAGCCACGAUGCUUUUGCGAUCCAGCCAUAUCAAUGUACGUAUUGGCAGAACAUGGCUUUUUCUUUCUU